rnacentral:tRNA from 4 species
GAGCCAUUAGCUCAGCUGGCAGAGCAUCUGACUUUUAAUCAGAGGGUCAGAGGUUCGAAUCCUCUAUGGCUCA